GAUGAAGAACGUAGUGAAAUGCGAUAAGUAAUGUGAAUUGCAGAAUUCAGUGAAUCAUCGAAUCUUUGAACGCACAUUGCGCCCCCUGGUAUUCCGGGGGGCACGCCUGUCCGAGCGUCAUUACAACCCUCAAGCUCAGCUUGGUAUUGGGCCCCGCCGACCCGGCGGGCCCUAAAGUCAGUGGCGGUGCCGUCCGGCUCCGAGCGUAGUAAUUCUUCUCGCUCUGGAGGUCCGGUCGUGUGCUCGCCAGCAACCCCCAAUUUUUUUCAGGUUGACCUCGGAUCAGGUAGGGAUACCCGCUGAACUUAAGCAUAUCAAUAAGCGGAGGA
rnacentral:misc_RNA from 1 species